rnacentral:SRP_RNA from 1 species
GUCGGGCAUGGUGGCGCAUGCUUGUAAUCCCAGCUACUCAGGAGGCUGAGGCAGGAGAAUCGCUUGAACCCAGGAGGCAGAGAUUGCAGUGAGCCGAGAUUGGGCCACUGUACUCCAGCCUGGGUGACAAAGCAAGACUCUGUCUCAG